rnacentral:tRNA from 1 species
GGUCGGGUGGCCGAAAUACAGGCGAUAAACUGUAGAUUUAUUUAUAAGACGCUUCUUUCUGAUCG